GGCAGGCAGUUGUUGCAGAUAUAAACGGGCUCUUGGUGUCUGGCACCUUUCAAUCUCAGAUACGAAGCCCAUCCUUCAACUCCUGACUGGGGGAAUCCAGAGAAGGAGGAUAUCAUUCCUGCUAAAAUAUAAGCCCUUCUUCAAACAAUCACACAUGAAGGGGAAUAGGCCACUGUUUCUUGCCCAUUAAUCUACUCCAGCCUUUGACAAUGCACUGGUGACGCUCCAUCAAUCAUCUUCGCGUGCGCUGCCACGGAAAAGAAGAGGGGGAAGGGAAAGGGCAUUCAGCCAACUGGAGAGAAGCAACACAUAAAAUAACUUCGACCCAGACUGAUGCAAUAUCUUCUGUUAUCUCAAAAGAAACUAUAAGUCUCCUUAACACAGUAAAUGUUUCUCAAAAUGCUAAACACAGACGGGAGUGCAAGAGUGGCAAAUCCAGGCAGAAGUUUGAGAUAGGUCAUAAUGAAAAAUACAUCCCCAAAAUUAGUUCACUUUUGGAGAAUUUGUUGAGGCAAAGGAGAGUAGGUUUCAAUAAAAAAGCUGAUAACCAGGUACUUAACUCAAAAAGGCUUAACUGACUGCACCAUCUUCCUUUCGCAGCAGGCCUAAACCAGGCUCUGAGGCGAGAUCAGGAAUCUCCUGGGUACGUGGAACUAUGUUCUAACCAUGGUGAGGGUCAAGCAGAACUGAUUGGUAAUAUGCUGAGUUUAGUCAAUUUACAUGAUGUGUUUUCACACAAUCCCAAGUGGCUUUGACUAAGCAGGAAAUCCCCCUCGCCCUGUGGUCCCUACCAUGUGCAAAUGGCUCCCUCAAGGCACUGAUUAGUGCAGAUGCCCUAACUAGUGCAUUUGAGAUGGUACCUUCUGAAAUUUUGAGCAUGAAACCCUUCUAACAAUAAGCCAGAAAGAAAUGAAAGAGAAGUCCUUAGUGCUACCUUUUCACAGAUGCUCGGAAAGUUUCUCAUUGCAGUGGUGUAAAGCUUUUUAACCCGAAGACUGCUGAAAGGUCUGUUGGACUGGUUAGAGCAAGUCACAGACAACCUCACUUGCAACCAAACAGCCAAAUAAAGUUACGCUGGUUAAAAUGUUAUUUAGCCUCAGUGAUUAUUUUUUCAAGUAGAGAUCACUUUUGGUCCACUAGCUGCAGGCUGAAAAACAUUAGUUGAGAAGGGUGAGCUCAAAUUCUGGGCCUCAUGAAGUUCACAGCAGCACUGGCACGGCCUUGGCCCUGGGGGAGUAAGGCUUUGCGCAUGCCUUCACUUGCUGGUGGUAACGGCUAUGAGGUGGGACUCCAGCUUGAACUCCAGCUGCAGAAAGGAAAGCUUACUAGUAAGGUGCUGGAGCAGAAGCUGCCCUUCACCAGUGGGUAGCAAAGAAAGGCAGGUUGCUGCUGAAUUUGACUAGAAAGUCAAUCUUUUCAGAAGCUAAAAUAUUUAGUACAAGAUAAUGAACGUGGUAUGGGCCUUCUCUGGUGCCCUAGGUCCUUUGUGGAAAUGUAUGCAUUGGCAACCUUGGAUGCACCAUGGUAUUCAGUUAGAACAGCACCUCCACCCUGGCAUGGACUAAAAUGAUUACAGCAGUGCCACUCAAGGGUAAACCCAACACCAAAGUGUGCGUCGGUAAUCCAGACCUGAAAAUGCAGCAUUUUCAUAUGAUCCAAGACAAAAUAUAUGAUCAGCAUGGCCUGGGGUCUGAUGGCUUGAACUGUAGAGAGAGAGCAAACAAUUCUUUGUCCUACCUCUAUUUUUGGUCUGUGUCUCACUGUGUGAAACAGGUAUGAGGAAUUAUUUGCUUACAUGUGAAACAGAGUUCUGCAUAAAAUGCAAUGUUCGACUAAAAAGCUGUAUCACUAUUUACUACAUGAGAAGCAGGGGGAUCAGAUUCCUAUACUGGAUUAUAUCUAUCCAUAGGUUUUCUAAUAAUGCAAUUGUGACUUAUUUUGUUUUUCAGAUAUAUUUUCUUGUAAAUGUGUUUCUUUUAAUGAACAAUGACUUCAGUAAAGGUCCUGAAGGCAGUGCUUGGCACAGAGAUUUAGUAUACAUUUAAAUCUCAGAGAUUGUCUAUAAUAUGGUAAAUCCACACUGUGGAGUUUGGUGACAGACUGCUUCAGCUAAUUAUCAAAUAACACAAGAAAAUAUUUGUGGUUAUAAUAGAAGAAGCAUACUUAAUGUAUUACUGUGGUCCCUUUAAAAACUUGUGGCAUUAUUAUCUAUAAAUAGAUAAGAAAAAAUGUUCCUGUCCUAUAGAAGUGCACUCAACUUUUAACUUGCAGUAUGUAGCCAUUCGUAUUUUUAUAACAACAAUUUUAAAAUCUACAGCUCUGAAGAAAAAAAAAUAGAAUGUUGGGAGCCAUGAUGUUAAUUCAGCACAAAAGUGCAAAUAAAUGUUAUUUUAAGAUAGUACUUUUUUUUUUUUUUUUUUUAAGGAUUCUGCAUUAACACCUCUUGAUCUACGUGUAAGAAAAAAAAAAAAAAAGAUGGUUUAGGAUUAAGUGAUGAAACCCUACCACUGAGUAUCACAGCUUUCAUCUUAAUUGGUUUAUGGUAUUGCUAGUUACACUUCAGUUGUUUGCAGGCUUUUAAUGUUACAGGAAAUGCAUCCCUCUUCUCUGGAACAAGCUGACAGAACACUUGCAAAAUGGAUAGGGUGACUUUUAAUGAUGCAAAUGCUUAGUGGAUGAUUAGAUGCACUUUGAGGGCUAAACUCUCUUGUGAUCAAAAAUUUACUUGAACACAAGGUAGUUUCAGCAAGAAAGGAAAUAAAAUGCUGAGGAAACCGU